rnacentral:rRNA from 1 species
AUUGAACGCUGGCGGCAUGCCUUACACAUGCAAGUCGAACGGCAGCACGGGUGCUUGCACCUGGUGGCGAGUGGCGAACGGGUGAGUAAUACAUAGGAACAUGUCCUGUAGUGGGGGAUAGCCCGGCGAAAGCCGGAUUAAUACCGCAUACGAUCUACGGCUGAAAGCGGGGGACCUUCGGGCCUCGCGCUAUCGGGUUGGCCGAUGGCUGAUUAGCUAGUUGGUGGGGUAAAGGCCUACCAAGGCGACGAUCAGUAGCUGGUCUGAGAGGACGACCAGCCACACUGGGACUGAGACACGGCCCAGACUCCUACGGGAGGCAGCAGUGGGGAAUUUUGGACAAUGGGCGAAAGCCUGAUCCAGCAAUGCCGCGUGUGUGAAGAAGGCCUUCGGGUUGUAAAGCACUUUUGUCCGGAAAGAAAUCCUUGGCUCUAAUACAGUCGGGGGAUGACGGUACCGGAAGAAUAAGCACCGGCUAACUACGUG